AUACGUAGGUGGCAAGCGUUGUCCGGAAUUAUUGGGCGUAAAGCGCGCGCAGGUGGUUCCUUAAGUCUGAUGUGAAAGCCCCCGGCUCAACCGGGGAGGGUCAUUGGAAACUGGGGAACUUGAGUGCAGAAGAGGAUAGUGGAAUUCCAAGUGUAGCGGUGAAAUGCGUAGAGAUUUGGAGGAACACCAGUGGCGAAGGCGACUUUCUGGUCUGUAACUGACGCUGAGGCGCGAAAGCGUGGGGAGCAAACAGGAUUAGAUACCCUGGUAGUCCACGCCGUAAACGAUGAGUGCUAAGUGUUAGGGGGUUUCCGCCCCUUAGUGCUGCAGCUAACGCAUUAAGCACUCCGCCUGGGGAGUACGGUCGCAAGACUGAAACUCAAAGGAAUUGACGGGG
rnacentral:rRNA from 1 species